rnacentral:rRNA from 1 species
UGGUGAUGAUGGCGAAGAGGACACACCCGUUCCCAUGCCGAACACGGAAGUUAAGCUCUUCAGCGCCGAUGGUAGUCGGGGGUUUCCCCCUGUGAGAGUAGGACAUCGCCAGGCA